GUCGUGAGUCAGUUCGGUCUCUAUCUACUGUGGGCGUUAGAAAUUUGAGUGGAUCUGAUUCUAGUACGAGAGGACCGAUUUGGACCAACCUCUAGUGCAUCUGUUGUCUCGCCAGGGGCAUCGCAGAGUAGCUACGUUGGGAAGGGAUAAGCGCUGAAAGCAUAUAAGUGCGAAACCCACCACAAGAUGAGAUUUCUUUAAAGGGUCGUUGGAGAUUACAACGUUGAUAGGCUAUAGAUGUAAAGACAGUAAUGACAAAGUCGAGUAGUACUAAUAACCCGUAAGCUUAUGUGA
rnacentral:rRNA from 1 species